rnacentral:rRNA from 1 species
UACGUAGGGAGCAAGCGUUGUCCGGAUUUACUGGGUGUAAAGGGUGCGUAGGCGGCUCUGCAAGUCAGGUGUGAAAACCAUGGGCUUAACUCAUGGAUUGCAUUUGAAACUGUGGAGCUUGAGUGAAGUAGAGGCAGGCGGAAUUCCCGGUGUAGCGGUGAAAUGCGUAGAGAUCGGGAGGAACACCAGUGGCGAAGGCGGCCUGCUGGGCUUUAACUGACGCUGAGGCACGAAAGCAUGGGUAGCAAAC